GACAUAGGUGGCGAACGUUAUCCGGAAUUAUUGGGCGUAAAGGGUGCGUAGAUGGUUUGAUAAGUUAGCGGUGGGAAAUCGAGGCUCAACCUCGUGGAAGCCGCUAAUACUAUCUGACUAGAGUGCAGGAGGGGUUAACGGAACUCUAUGUAGAGGGGUGAAAUCCAAAGACAUGUAGGGGAACGCCGAUAACAGCGAAGGCAGUUAACUAUUCUGCUACUGACAUUGAGGCACGAAAGCGUGGGGAGCAAAACGG
rnacentral:rRNA from 1 species